rnacentral:rRNA from 1 species
UGGGGAAUAUUGCACAAUGGAGGAAACUCUGAUGCAGCAACGCCGCGUGGAGGAUGACGCAUUUCGGUGUGUAAACUCCUUUUAUAGGGGAAGAUAAUGACGGUACCCUAUGAAUAAGCACCGGCUAACUCCGUGCCAGCAGCCGCGGUAAUACGGAGGGUGCAAGCGUUACUCGGAAUCACUGGGCGUAAAGGAUGCGUAGGCUGGAGAUCAAGUCGAGAGGGAAAUCCAACGGCUCAACCGUUGAACUGCUCGCGAAACUGGU